AAGGGAGUAUAUAUAAAGUAAAUAGUAUUGGUCCAAGUACAAAACCUUGUGGAACUCCAUGACUAACUGUAGUAUUUAUUGAAGAUUCAUUGUUAACAUGUACAAACUGCAAACGAUCUGAUAAGUAUGACGUAAACCAGCUUAAUGCAGUUCCUUUAAUGACAUCUAUGAUCCUUGGAAUGCCCCAUAGGAAGUGCAGAAGGCAGCCAAGUGAAGUUCACUACCCCAAGCCCAUGGUGAACCAUGCUGAAGCCAGCCGCGUCAACAUAGAGCGGAUGAAGCAAAUUUACCAGCAGCUUUCCAGCUACAGAGGACUGGGCCUGCUGGCAACAGUACCUUACAAAGAAUGACCAAAUUCUAACUGUAUUAAAAAAGGUAAUAAAAGACAAUCAUUGUUGUACCCUCUUGAGUUAUUUGCACUAUAAUGCCACCUGUCUCUUUACAAAAAGAAUGCCAUGGUAUGACAUUUAUGUAAAUCCUGCAUGACUUCUUGAGAUUUGAUCUCAGCUGGCCAUGUGAUGCUUCAGUUACAGUUCAAACAUUCCCAUUAAAUGCCACGAUUCCCACA